UACGUAGGGUGCAAGCGUUGUCCGGAAUUAUUGGGCGUAAAGAGCUCGUAGGCGGUCCGUCGCGUCGAAUGUGAAAACCCGGGGCUCAACCCCGGGCUUGCAUUCGAUACGGGCGGACUAGAGUUCGGUAGGGGAGACUGGAAUUCCUGGGUGUAGCGGUGAAAUGCGCAGAUAUCAGGAGGAACACCGGUGGCGAAGGCGGGUCUCUGGGCCGAUGACUGACGCUGGAGGAGCGAAAGCGUGGGGAGCGAACAGG
rnacentral:rRNA from 1 species